UACGUAGGAGGCGAGCGUUGUCCGGAGUUACUGGGCGUAAAGGGUGCGCAGGCGGCGGUUCGCGUGGCGAGAUGAAAUCUCCUGGCUUACCUGGGAGGGUGGUCGCCAGACGGGAUCGCUUGAGGGUCGGAGAAGGGCGUGGAAUUCCGGGUGGAGCGGUGAAAUGCGUAGAGAUCCGGAGGAAACACCGACGGCGUAGGCCAGC
rnacentral:rRNA from 1 species